GCCGAGGAGAAAACUUAAGCUCGAGAAUGACUGCAUAAACUAUGAUCUACAAAUGAUCUUCAAAGCAGCAGCAUUUUCUAAAGGAUAGAUAUUGGUGAGAAAAUUGCCUGGAUAUUUUCAGAUGGCCGCUUGCCACAGCCUUCCAUACAAUUGGCUCCAGCUGUCAAUGGAGAAAGCAAAGCAGCAUGAUGAGACCCUUAUGUAAAUACAAUCUUGCUGGUUCCUUUUGAAAUAUGUAGAGUUUCUCCCUUUGCAGAAACCCAAGUCCUGCAUUCAUCACUACUGUUCCAGGGAGAAGAGAUUCUUACUGAACUUAUGAAAAUAAAUAUACAACCAUGAAAAUAUAAGAGUCCUCACUGAAAGUUCCAGAUUCUGGAGGGACAAGGUAGAUGUUUAUGGGAUUACAAGAUACAUCAUUAACUGAACAUGAUCUACUUAGACUUAAUUUUAUAAGGUGCCAAAUAAAAGGUAUUUAUUUAGCAUUGGUGAAAAAGGCAGAGUUAAGGACCUCACUUUCCCAGAAUUCUAUGGUCCACCCUUCUCGUCAUCCCAGGAAGGAAAGCAACAUCUCUCCCUGUCCUCCAUACCUCUGGUUUCCUUGGACCAGAGUGGAGACUUUGUUAACAAGAAGCAAAAGCUAGAUUCUGAAAUGUUUUAUUUCCAUAUCUUCCAAUAUUUGGUGUGUUCUCUUCAAAAGAAAAAAAUACGUUAUGUCAUAA